rnacentral:rRNA from 1 species
GGCAGGCUUAACACAUGCAAGUCGAGCGGGGAAGGUUGCUUCGGUAACUGACCUAGCGGCGGACGGGUGAGUAAUGCUUAGGAAUCUGCCAUUUAGUGGGGGACAACAUUCCGAAAGGAAUGCUAAUACCGCAUACGUCCUACGGGAGAAAGCAGGGGAUCUUCGGACCUUGCGCUAAAUGAUGAGCCUAAGUCGGAUUAGCUAGUUGGUGGGGUAAAGGCCUACCAAGGCGACGAUCUGUAGCGGGUCUGAGAGGAUGAUCCGCCACACUGGGACUGAGACACGGCCCAGACUCCUACGGGAGGCAGCAGUGGGGAAUAUUGGACAAUGGGCGCAAGCCUGAUCCAGCCAUGCCGCGUGUGUGAAGAAGGCCUUUUGGUUGUAAAGCACUUUAAGCGAGGAGGAGGCUACCUAGAUUAAUACUUUAGGAUAGUGGACGUUACUCGCAGAAUAAGCACCGGCUAACUCUGUGCCAGCAGCCGCGGUAAUACAGAGGGUGCGAGCGUUAAUCGGAUUUACUGGGCGUAAAGCGUGCGUAGGCGGCUUUUUAAGUCGGAUGUGAAAUCCCCGAGCUUAACUUGGGAAUUGCAUUCGAUACUGGGAAGCUAGAGUAUGGGAGAGGAUGGUAGAAUUCCAGGUGUAGCGGUGAAAUGCGUAGAGAUCUGGAGGAAUACCGAUGGCGAAGGCAGCCAUCUGGCCUAAUACUGACGCUGAGGUACGAAAGCAUGGGGAGCAAACAGGAUUAGAUACCCUGGUAGUCCAUGCCGUAAACGAUGUCUACUAGCCGUUGGGGCCUUUGAGGCUUUAGUGGCGCAGCUAACGCGAUAAGUAGACCGCCUGGGGAGUACGGUCGCAAGACUAAAACUCAAAUGAAUUGACGGGGGCCCGCACAAGCGGUGGAGCAUGUGGUUUAAUUCG